rnacentral:hammerhead_ribozyme from 1 species
GUCCAGCUGACGAGUCCCAAAUAGGACGGAACGGGCGUCAAGGAU